rnacentral:rRNA from 1 species
AGUGAACGCUGGCGGUAGGCCUAACACAUGCAAGUCGAACGGCCGCACAGUAAGAGCUUGCUCUUACGGGUGGCGAGUGGCGGGCGGGUGAGGAAUACAUCGGCAUCUACUUUUUCGUGGGGGAUAACGUAGGGACACUUACGCUAAUACCGCAUACGACCUACGGGUGGAAGCAGGGGAUCUUCGGACCUUGCGCGAUUGUAUGAGCCGAUGUCGGAUUAGCUAGUUGGCGGGGUAAAGGCCCACCAAGGCAACGAUGCGUAGCUGGUCUGAGAGGAUGAUCAGCCACACUGGAACUGAGACACGGUCCAGACUCCUACGGGAGGCAGCAGUGGGGAAUAUUGGACAAUGGGCGCAAGCCUGAUCCAGCCAUACCGCGUGGGUGAAGAAGGUCUUCGGGUUGUAAAGCCCUUUUGUUGGGAAAGAAAAGCAGCAGGUUAAUACCCCGCUGUUCUGACGGUACCCAAAGAAUAAGCACCGGCUAACUUCGUG